UCUUGCGCAAUGGACGAAAGUCUGACGCAGCCACGCCGCGUGAGUGAAGAAGGCCUUCGGGUUGUAAAGCUCUGUCGAGCGGGACGAAAAAUCAUUAGGUGAAUAGCCUAGUGAUCUGACGGUACCGCUAAAGGAAGCACCGGCUAACUCCGUGCCAGCAGCCGCGGUAAUACGGAGGGUGCAAGCGUUGCUCGGAAUUAUUGGGCGUAAAGGGUAGGUAGGUGGUCUCAUUUGUCUGGGGUGAAAGCCUUGAGCUUAACUCAAGAAGUGCCCCAGAAACGGUGAGACUAGAGUCUUGGAGAGGGUCGUGGAAUUCCCGGUGUAGCGGUUAAAUGUGUAGAGAUCGGGAGGAACCCCAGAGGCGAAGGGGGGGACCGGACAAGUACUACACUCAACUACGAAA
rnacentral:rRNA from 1 species